UGGGGAAUAUUGGACAAUGGGCGAAAGCCUGAUCCAGCCAUGCCGCGUGUGUGAAGAAGGUCUUCGGAUUGUAAAGCACUUUAAGUUGGGAGGAAGGGCAUUAACCUAAUACGUUAGUGUUUUGACGUUACCGACAGAAUAAGCACCGGCUAACUCUGUGCCAGCAGCCGCGGUAAUAAAGAGGGUGCAAGCGUUCAUCGGAAUUACUGGGCGUAAAGCGCGCGUAGGUGGUUUGUUAAGUUGGAUGUGAAAUCCCCGGGCUCAACCUGGGAACUGCAUUCAAAACUGACUGACUAGAGUAUGGUAGAUGGUGGUGGAAUUUCCUGUGUAGCGGUGAAAUGCGUAGAUAUAGGAAGGAACACCAGUGGCGAAGGCGACCACCUGGACUAAUACUGACACUGAGGUGCGAAAGCGUGGGGAGCAAACA
rnacentral:rRNA from 1 species